UACAGAGGUCUCAAGCGUUGUUCGGAUUCAUUGGGCGUAAAGGGUGCGUAGGCGGCGCGGUAAGUCGGGUGUGAAAUCUCGGAGCUUAACUCCGAGACUGCAUUCGAUACUGCCGUGCUUGAGGACUGGAGAGGAGACUGGAAUUUACGGUGUAGCAGUGAAAUGCGUAGAUAUCGUAAGGAAGACCAGUGGCGAAGGCGAGUCUCUGGACAGCAACUGACGCUGAGGCACGAAGGCCAGGGGAGCAAACGGG
rnacentral:rRNA from 1 species